ACUGGCCAACUCCAAAAAUCAGACCACUAAUGAUUCAAGUUUCAAACUUCAAAACUUCUGACGAUUCAAUAUUAUGGCUCCAAAUUCAAAAUUCAAAAUUAUGGCUCCAGAUAUAUAACAUAUCAUCUUUUUCAAUCAAUUACCCUCUCUAAUCAAUAUCUCUCUCAACUCUCUCUCUCUCUCUCUCUCUAAAACUCACUUUAUCUCUCUCUAAUUUGUAUUUUUUUCGAUCAUUAGGUAUAGCGAUCAUGAGUUACGAUUCCGUUAUGAAUCCAGAGCUGAGAUCAAAGGUAUAAUAUUCGAUUGUUGCCUUCAUUUGCGUUCAGUAGAAAUUAGUUCUUCAUUAGCCAAGAAACAGAUGGAAAUAGUUAGAGAAGUUAGCAGCCACUUAUCAAAAUUUAAAGUAGAAUGUCGUGACGCUGCUGAUCGUGCUGGAUAGGGCUGGACUUUCUCUUGUCAUGAACAAGUUGAGAAAUUAAUAGUUUUGCUCUUAAACAGGGAUGCAGAGCAACAAUCAUGUUGGGUUAUCAUGCUAGAUCUCGAGUCACUUGCAUAGCGAAUAACAGAUCAACGAAUUAAAUUGCGCAUGAAAGUCAAACUGCGGCUGAACUUCAGUUGUGUGUGGACUGUGGACUGAAGUAAUUUUGGACAGCAAGUGAACAAAAAACGAGGGUUAUGUAGCAGCAAAGACGAAGCGAAUAACAGAUCAGCGAAUUGAACUGCGCAUGAAGGUUAAAGUGCGGCUGAACUUCAGUUGUGUGUGGACUGUGGACUAAAGUAAUUUUGGACAGCAAGUGAACAAAAAACGAGGAUUAUGUAGCUGCAAAGACGAAGUGAAUAACAGAUCAGCAAAUUGAACUGCGCAUGAAGGUUAAAGUGCGGCUGAACUUCAGUUGUGUGUGGACUGUGGACUGAAGUAAUUUUGGACAACAAGUGAACAAAAAAUGAGGGUUAUGUAGCUGCAAAGACGAAGAGAAUAACAGAUCAGCGAAUUGAAAUACGCAUGAAGGUCAAACUGCUGCUGAACUUCAGUUGUGUGUGGACUGUGGACUUAAGUAAUUUUGGACAGCAAGUGAACAAAAAACGAAGACUAAUAAUGUUUCAGCAAAUGAACAAAUCUGCAUACGAACUAAACAACUGCUGAACACUUUUGCGAUGGAUAUCUACACUGCGAAUGACAACGAUUUAGCAAAUGAACCAACGACAAACACCAAAUAUCAAAACACCAAACGGACAAUGUAUAACAGCAACGAAUGUAUUCUGCAAUAGAUAUAUGCUGAUCUGCAACGAAUGUAUAACAACAAAUGCACAAAACACCAAACGGAUAGUGUUUUUUUUCGGCGAAAGCUAAUGAACCUGUUAGCGAAUCAACAAGACAAAUUUUACAUGCAAAUGUAAUUCUAUGCAAACUCAGUGAAUGGACAAACUAAUUCUGUCAAACAAAUGAACUAUGUUAAAUUCUGCGCGCAAUUCAGUUGUUGAUUUUUAAAUCUAUUUCAAUGAGUGAUUUUUAAA